rnacentral:misc_RNA from 1 species
GAGCUGUUUGAAGAUUAUUAUAGUUAUCAGAGGAAGAAAUGGAUGUUCAAAGCAGCAGUGCACUUGACACUCGCUUCAAGGGAUUGUGGGAUAGGAACUACAAGUGAGAAUGCUGAGGGUCCAAUUGUGCAUGUGAAUUGCAUAUCAGAAAGCUCAAGUCAUGACUUGGGACUGGCAAGCGGUAUUGAAAUGGAUAAGGAUGGAUAAUGCCUAGAUUUGAAAACAAGACACCAGGACUGAUUGGCAGGUACAAGCAUACUGGAAUUUCAGGUGUACCGUGCAGAAGGUUUGUGAAUGGGCAUAUGAUGCUAAUUUUAUUGUGCAUCAAAAUGAUGCUGAGAGCUGUCUUGUAAUAUUCCCGCUUGUUUUUAUCUUUUUUUAGUCCUAUUUCCCCCUAUUUAUAGUCUUAUAGAAAUAUAUAUAAAUGCCAGG